AAUGGGCGAAAGCCUGACGCAGCAACGCCGCGUGAGUGAUGAAGGCCCUCGGGUCGUAAAGCUCUGUCAGGAGGGAAGAAAUGAUUUAGGGUUAAUACCCCUAGAUCUUGACGGUACCUCCGAAGGAAGCACCGGCUAACUCCGUGCCAGCAGUCGCGGUAAUACGGAGGGUGCAAGCGUUGUUCGGAAUUAUUGGGCGUAAAGCGCGUGUAGGCGGUCUUUAAGUCUGAUGUGAAAGCCCCGGGCUCAACCUGGGAAGUGCAUUGGAAACUGGGAGACUUGAAUACGGGAGAGGGCAGUGGAAUUCCUAGUGUAGGAGUGAAAUCCGUGGAUAUUAGGAGGAACACCGGUGGCGAAGGCGGCUGCCUGGACCGAUAUUGACGCUGAGACGCGAAAGCGUGGGGAGCAAA
rnacentral:rRNA from 1 species